AGCAGUAGUAUUGCCACGUUUUAGCCUGAUCUCGUCAGGUCUCAGAAGCCCGGCAAAGCCGGGCCUGGCAGUACUGGGAUGGGAGACUUUCAGUGAGAAUCAGGUUGCCGCUGCCA
rnacentral:rRNA from 1 species